rnacentral:lncRNA from 1 species
AUAUUAUCCCAUAGGUAUCUUAUAUUGUUUUCAUGUUUUUCCAUUAGGCUUUCUGUCUGCUGACAUGAUUGGGUGAUUUCCAUUAUUCUAUCUUCCACAUCACUAAUUCAUUCUUCUGUAUUAUUCAUUCUGGUUUUUACUGCCCUUAGUUCAGUUUGUAUCUUUACAAAUGAAUUUUCUAGUUUUCCUUGGAUCCUCCUUAUAUUUUCUAAUUCCUUUCUGAAGGUGUCUGCAUUACUGUUCAUAUCUUCUCUAAUUCCAUCAGUAUUUUCACUAUUUCUCUUUUGAACUCCAGGUCUGUCAGACUGCAGAGAUCUGUUUCAUUGUUGACUGCUUUAGGUGAGUUCUCCUGUUGGUUUAACUGGGGGUGGUUUCUCAGCUUCUUCAUCUUACUUGUUGUUUUCUUUUUCCUGGUGGAGUUAUACUCUCUGUAGCCGGUCAGUAUUUGCCUUGGCACUGCUGUGGAAUGUUUCCUAAGGGCUGGCAUUGUUGGUCAGUCUUCUUUGAGGCAGCAUGGCUUUUCCAGAGGGUGGGCAGGGCUGACAGGGUCUCUCUGAAGCAAGGAGGACUUCCUGAGGACAGAUAGGACUGGAAGCUCCGCACCACUAUGGAAGCAGAUUUCACUCAGCUGGGCAGAGCUUGCUCGGUGUUUUUGGGCUGUGGGGCUCUUGCAGGGGGCUGGCGGUGCUGGGCAGCUGUUCUGCAGAAGUGCAGAAGCCCCUGAGGGCUGGAGCGGCUAGCUGGGCCACUGAGAACCCAAGAGGCUCUUCCCCAGGGCAGCCCAACUCGGAAGGACUGCCUGAGAAUGUAGGCAGAUUUUUCACGGCCCAGCCACACUUGUUAUAGCUUUUCUGGGCUGCAGGGGCUCUUGCAGGGGGCUGGCGGUGCUGGGCAGCUGUUCUGCAGAAGUGCAGAAGCCCCUGAGGGCUGGAGCAGCUAGCUGGGCCGCUGAGAACCCAAGAGGCUCUUCCCCAGGGCAGCCCAACUCGGAAGGACUGCCUGAGAAUGUAGGCAGAUUUUUCACAGCCCAGCCAAGCUUGUUCUAGCUUUCCUAGGCUGCAGGCCUUUUCCCGGGGGCUGGCAGUGUUUUUGGUGCUGCUCUGUGGAGGUGUAUCCCCUCCAGAGAGCAAGCAGGCCAGGGCAGGGAAAGCCCCUUCGGUGGUAGGCUUCCAGCAAUUGCUGAGGCCAGCGCUCCAGGAUGGCAGGCAGCCCCAGGUCCAGCGUGUGCAUGAAGGGUAGGGGGAGGGUAGAUGUACUGGGAAGCACAGCUUUCUGAUAGCUAGUGGGCCAGUGAGCUUGCUGUGGCGUGGGGAGUAUUCUAUGGGGGCCCACCCCUUCUUCUCUCCCCUCCCCAACACUGGCACCUUGUCUCUUCUGCAAGUCCAGCUCUUCUCCCAGGUUCCCCUAACAUAUUAUUCUAUAUCAACUAUAUUUCAAUUAAAAAAAGAAAAAGUAGUGACAAUGGACACUCUGGCUUUGUUCUUGACAUUAUGGGAAUUUUCUCAUUGUGUUUUCAUUAAACAUGAUACUGGCUUACAGAUGUUAACUGUUAGUUUAAAAUGUGCCCAUACAGUUACUAGUUUAUUGAGGAUUUUAUUUCCAGUACUUGAUUGGUAUGAUUAAAUGAUUUCCCUUAUUUCUUCUCCCAUAGGUGAAUUAAAUUAACAGAGCUGGUAAUAUUAACUUAUUUUUCCAUUUCUGGAAUAAGCCAAAAUUAUUAUCUCCACCAUGCUCAGCCAUUGUCUGGGGGUGGCCCAGGGGAAGGAAGUAUGCUUUUGGUAUAAACACCACGGUGGCUUUAAAAGGUUUGGCAACUGAAGUCUAUCAUCAACUAUGCUCCUGACAGCAGAUUCUCUCGAAGGAGAUUUGAGCAGUACAUUUCUACAACUACAACAUGAAUCAAUAAAGGACUAGAAAUCAGAAAACUUGAGUUCCAGAACUAUCACUGCCAACCAGUUAUCAGUGUUAUCUUAGACAAGUAAUAUGUUCUCUGAGCCUCACCUCUUCCUUGCGUGAUAAAGACAGACAUAAUAACAGAGCACAUGCCUCUAGAGUGAUCGAAAGAGAUUCUGGUACAUAGUCAGUGUGUUAUAAAUAGUAACUGUGAUUACUAUUGUUAUUACCAAAAAUUCCUUCAGGAAGAAGUCCAGAACCUAAAAAGUAAAUAAUACCUACCUUUUGUCGUGACUUAACUACAUAUAUACCAGGCAGAUGGUAUUGGCAAAGAGAGAGAGGAUCAGAAGGGAGGAGAGUAGGAGGAAGAAAGGAACUGUGGUACUUAAUUGCUCUUACCACCGUGAGCAACUUACAUUAAAGGAAAAGUCCCUCUAGCAUUUACAAUUUGCUAGAACAAAAAGAGAGGCUUAUAAGGAAGCAGUAAAGUAGCCAGAAAAUUCUUUCCUGGAUGUGUUAAGUUUACUGAGAAGGAAAGAUAACAAGGAUUUAGGGUGCCAGCACUGUUCAGAACAGAGUAGGCCCUUGGCUGGAGCCUUCAUUUGGCUCUAGCACCGGGUCCCCCUGGUGGCAGGAUGGGUAAAGGAAGAUGAGCAAUUAUCAACAGAGCAGGAAUUUAGCACAGGCAAACAUGGCUACUUAUCCUGCCUCUCCCACUUAGCAAAUUUGAACGAAAUCCUUAAUUUCUGGUCCUUGUCUUUUUAAAGAGAUUUUUCUGGGGAAUAAAAGAUAUAAUUAUGUUUAAUUUAUGUAAAGCACUUGACCUAGAAUAGUUGCUUAAUAAGCGUGGCUAUUAUUAUUAAAGCAUAAUUCAUAUGUUUAACAAUGACAUGUUUUCCUUAUAGAACUACUCUCAGAAAUUAUGCUAACUUUUAAUAAGUAUUGACAGCCACCAAAAAUAUUUUUCAUGAAUUUCAAUUGUAGAACUUGUGGGGAAAAUCGGAUAAGCUACAGUAUUUUUCAAUAAUUACACUUAUGUUCUAAUUAUAGUUUUGACCUUGCACUAAAAAAAAGUUAAAAGAACAUUUUUUAAAUAAAUUAACCUCUAACAUACAAACCAGCUGAAAGGACCCUUUUUAAAUAAGUACUAUCCAAAAGCUACCCAAUUUACAACUCCUAAGUCCCAUGUAAGAGUUUAAAAUAUUAGAAUCUAAGCCACAGCCAUUAUAUUCAGAUGGUCUUUUAUGUAAACAUGGAUAAACACAUACCCAGCAGACUAUAGUAGUCAAGUUAGAGAGUGGAAGUUUUUGUUUCAAUGGAUGAAAUAUGCCUGCUUUUGGAAAAUUCAAAUGGGAAGUUUUUUUCUUAAUCUAAGAAACUUCUUCUGAUCUGAAAGGAUUGGAAAGAUCAGGUUAAAAGUUUGCAUGAGAACACGCAUUAUAUAUUUAAAAAGCAAAGACCACAGCUGAUAUCAGAGGGCUUAGAGAGAAAGCAUUUCUUGUACAGCCUUGUAAUUAUUUCCAUUCAGAUGGAACAACUCCAGCUGCUUUCAAAAAUCAACAAAUGAUAAGCAGAAGAAAAAUGGGAAGAAACAAGAGCAUUUUGUAUGUCCAACUGAUAAACACUGGGCUGCAUAUAUAUUAUGGUAAGCAUAAUUAAGCACAGAAUUAACAUCGUUUGUAACGUAGUGAAAUAAGGCAGCUGAAACAUAUGCAAAAAGGUCUCCAACACAUUGUUUUGAUGAUCUAAAUUGACAUUGCCAAGUUAUAUAUUUAUAAAAAAUAUGGACAAAGGGUCAAAUAAUUAAUUUUUUCUGGAUGUAUGUGCAUAGGCUAUGACUAAUGGUCUGAAGCAAUUUUCAUUCUGUUAUUAAUCUAGUUUGAUAAAUCUUAACCUUCCAUGACCCAUGUCUCUCACAGUGUAUCUAAUUACCUAAAAUUUAGGAUCCCAAAACAGUCCUAACACUGCAUUUUAGUAGUUAAAGUAUCAUAAGCAAAAGAUAAAUCUUUUCCUUGAUAAAACUUUGGAGACAUUAGAGUUCCUGUUGUGGUGCAGUGUAAAUGAAUUUGACUAGUAACCAUGAGGUUGUGAGUUCGAUCCCCGGCCUUGCUCAGUGGGUUAAGGAUCCGGCCUUGCCAUGAGCUGUGGUGUAGGUCACAGACGUGGCUCAGAUCUGGUGUUGCUGUGGAUGUGGCGUAGGCAGGCAGCUGCAGCUCCGAUUCGAUCCCUAUCCUGGGAACCUCCAUAUGCCACAAGGGUGCCCCUGAAAAAAAAAAAAAAAAAAAAAACUUUGGAGACACAAAUUUACAAAAGAAGUCAAGAACAAAUUACUGAAUGUUAUCUAUGUUUUAAGUACUGGGAAAUAAGUUGGAAUAUAUCAUUCAUUCACUCAAUAAACAUUUACUGAGCUCACAUUCUGAUAAGCAGGUACUCUAUUAAAUACUGAAGAUAUAAGGGUUAUAAGGAUAUCACAGUAUACUAGCAGUUACAAAUAUAUGUAAAUGCAAUUUCAAUACAAUGAGAAAUGCAGUGACAGCAGAGGGUCUUGGUAUAAAGUGGGAAUACUC